rnacentral:rRNA from 1 species
AGAGUUUGAUCAUGGCUCAGGAUUAACGCUGGCGGCAUGCCUAAUACAUGCAAGUCGAAUGAGAAGCUUGCUUCUCAUGGCGAACGGGUGAGUAACACGUAGGUAACCUGCCUUACACUCGAGGAUAACCGUUGGAAACGACGGAUAAUACUGGAUAGGACAAAGAUUCGCAUGAAUCGUUGUUUAAAAAGCAAUGGUGUAUGAGGGGCCUGCGGUGCAUUAGCUAGUUGGUGAGGUAACGGCUCACCAAGGCGAUGAUGCAUAGCUGGACUGAGAGGUUGAACAGCCACAAUGGGACUGAGAACGGCCCAUACUCCUACGGGAGGCAGCAGUAGGGAAUUUUCGGCAAUGGGGGAAACCCUGACCGAGCAAUGCCGCGUGAACGAUGAAGUAUUUCGGUAUGUAAAGUUCUUUUAUUAGGAAAGAUAGUGACGGUACCUAAUGAAUAAGCUCCGGCUAACUACGUGCCAGCCGCCGC